UUUCUGUCCCAGCUCCUUACCAGCUGCCGGGCAGCACUGUCCAGCUUUCAUUCACCAAGAGCCUAGAGCGUCCUGUGAGCAAGAUCAGCAGGUGACCUGUGGGCUGUGGGGCUGCAGGGCCUCAGUCUAGGGCCCCUGGAUGGUGGGGUCAGAACAGAGCAGAUGCCACCAGGGAGCUGGCAGUGCCACCAGCUGAGCCACCUCUGGGAGAGGCCACUGAGCCCAACCGCCAGAGCGGAGGUGUGGGGGACAGGCUGGCUAGGUGCUGGAGCUUAGUGCCCACCGUGUGCUGAGCCGGGGGGAGCCCUAAGGACGGCCAGGGAGGCCAGGCUCCGGGCGGUGCCAGGAAGCACUCAGCAAGGGGUGCUGGAGCUGGCAGAGAGUACAGAAAGGGCCUUUGGGAGGAAGGACGGCUUUGGGGGAGACUAGAGGUCAGGAGGGAUGGGCAUGUUGGGGUGUGGGUAGCCGGGCCAGCAGGGCAGACUUUGUAAUGAGGAGGCGGGGAAGUGGGGUGCACUGCUGUCCUGGCCUGCAGGGGGAGGGGCUUCCCGGAGCACCUGGUGAGAAAACCAGGAACGUUCAGGCAAAUCGGGGUGAGUCUGUCUCUCUUUCCAGAAGCAAAUGAGUUCUGACAGAAAUCAGGACCUGGAGAGGGCCAGGGAUUGGGCUCAGUGGCUCUACCAAAACAAAAGAAAGAAAGAAAGAGAGAAACUGCCUAAGAAAUAAGGAGCCGGAGCCGGCCCAGGUCACAGAAGUUUGUGAGGGAAGAAGAGCAAGCGCGUUUUACAGACUAGCCCACCUGCUCCCUCCGUUCUCGUGAGGAAGAAAAGAAAAUGAAAGUCAUGGAGACCAAGGAAAGCUGCAGACGAAGGAGAUGAGGAAAGCAGAGGUCGAUGCGGUGACAGACUGGAGCCUGGGGCAGAGAGGAGCGUUUACUGUCCGCUGAGGAGAAGCUGGUGAGGCCUGGGUCACGGCUGGCGUUACGUUCAAAGUGUCUUUCCAGUGCUCGUCUCUUCCCUUUGACAAACACGCCGAGGUUAUGUAAGAUGCUCACAUUAGCAGGAGGCGGGUGAGGGAGCCGUGGGAACGCCGUGUUCUCUGUCCCAUUUGUGUAACUCUAACACGCAGAGGAGGCAGGGCCGCCAGGGACGGCUGGGUCAGCCUUGGCAUCGGCCCUCGGCUCCCUCCAGGGAAGGCUGCAUGGCCUGGGGGUGGCGCUCCGUUGGCAGGAAGACAGAGGCCUGUAGUGGGGUCACGCGGGAACAGCUCCCAGCAGCAGUGGGUCCGGGGGGCGGGCUCUGGGCUCCCUCAGUUCAGGGACUCUGCUUCAGCUUCCUGGCUGCCUCCAGCCUGCCGGAGAGCCUGCCAGCUUCUCCCUACCAGCUGCCCAAGGUGCGGCCUCACACAGGGUUACCCCACUGCACUUGCUGUCAUGCCUGUGUCUAGCUGUCUCCCCAAGCCCCAUGCGGUCAAAGGUGGGGCUUUUCCGAGGUGGCUGGAUCUGCAGUGUGUGAUGCUGGGAUGAAGAAUGUGUGAUCUAAAUCAGUCCACUGAUGGGUUUGGCACCGCCCUAACCCUGGCAGCCUAGAGAGAGUACAAAAGGGGCUGAAGGAGGUCCCUUGCUCGGUUACUUGUUUUGCUCUCUUCCGCCUGCCAUGAACUGUUUCUCCUCUUCAAUGCCCUCUGUCACGCCACCCUGCCUUGGCACUAGCCAGUUACAGCCUGAAACCUCUACCAACUGCUCUUCCCCUUCCCGGACACACUGGUCUCCACCUCUACCACUCCAUGCAUGGACUCUCUGCCAGCACUGUGGGCCUGCACACAGGGAGGUCAGUGUCUGAGAUAGCAGAGCACUGGUCACUGCAAGCUCCUACAGCGAUGUGGACAGGGACAGGGAGGGACAGACGGGAAGUGCACCUCCAGUGAGUGCCCACUGUGUACCAGGCCUGGGGCCAGACUCUUGGAAGGCAAGUGUCCUUGAAUCUCACUGCCAGCUGCAAGGUCCGCCGCCAGGCUGUGGGUCCCUUGGUUGCUGUCUUGUCCUUGGAGAGGCCACACACACCUGGGAGGAGUCCCGGAGCUUGCAUCCGAGAUGACCGGAUCCAGAGAUGUCAGCAAAAUAACUGAGACACAAAGGCUGGUUUUCCAAAGUGUACACCUGCUUCCCACCGGAUAUCACAGCCUCUAAUCCUCACAUACACAGAAAAAUGCUGCCAAACUCAGAUUCACUGAAGCACAAAUAUCCACAAACAUGCUGUCAAGACCUCUGAGUGGGCAGAAGUUUUACCCCAAGAUAACAAAUAAACACGCCUUCGUUUUGAAAAUGCUGUAGAGGACAUGAGAUUCUUGGGCCAGAAAGAAAGGGCAGUUUAGUAUUCACAGCAAGAACAGUAGCCAGAGUAUCGGCGUUUUGGUGCCAAAUCUCUCAGCACAGUGUCCACGGGGUCACGUCAAGGGCGUAGAUGACACCUUGCUUCCGUGACAGGGAAGAGACUGAGCAGGAGCCCUGGAUUCCUGCUACACAUCGUUUUCACAGCCUGUUCUUUCAGGAGGGAGACACUAACCGUGCCUAGCAAAGCUGUUCCUUACACAGCUGGGAAGAUAAUCCAGAACACGGACAGCCACGCCACACUGUGCAAGCUGGGCAGAAACCCCAGCGCUCCGUGCAGAGUUAUCUGCUGACAUUCAGGUUCCCUGCCGUGCAUCUGGAUGUCUGCACACUCGUGGACAGGGACAGGGGCUGGGCUUUGCCCUCCCUGUGGGAACUGGUUACACCUCCAGCCACACUGCAGCUUCACCUCAGGGUGACCCUUUGAGUCUGAAAACCUGAUCCCUUCCCUUCUGUGCUCACAGCUUCUGCUCCCAGGACAAAGCUUCGUCUUUCUGGCAAGGCUCUGGCCCCUGUGGCCCGCUUUCCACUUCUCCCAGCCCAGCACUCGGCUCCCGUCGCCGCUGAACGACGGUGUGCACAGUCCUGUCUCGCGACUCCCACAUUUGUCCCUCAGGUGCAGCCCCUGUCUCGGCCUGAGAUGUUUCGGGGAGAAGCUGUCCUCUGCCCUGGCUCUCUGCAGUUUGUGUUUGCGCUGUUUCUCUGAGAUGUGAGAGAAAGGUCACCCCUGGCUCCAUGGCCUUUCUCCUCAGCCCAGGCCUUUGUCUGACUUGUUUUGCAUCCCUGUGGAGUGAGGCAGAGGCCAGGACAGGGGCCAGCGCUUGACAGAGAGGACUGUGGCCAGACCAGUGACGGGACUGCAGCGAGACCUACUGCCUAAUUUGCGGGGCUCGGCGAAAAUGAAGACGCGGGAUCGGGAUCCCUGGUAUGGACAUUGAGAAUUAGAAAGCAGAGGCCCUUCCAAGCGGAGACCGUGGGUCCAGGCUAACUUGAGGCAACUUCACAGCCCUGAGGACCCUAGGAAGGCACAAUCCCAGAGAGGGGGCCGAGCAGCGGCACAGAGCCGUGAGAAGCCGUGGGCUCCAGCUUGGACAAGGUUCUUUAACUUUCCCAGGCACACUGCCAAGUGCUCUCACGUCACCUGCGUGACGGCACCUGUAAGCCACGACUCCUUGGCUUUGCCCAGUUAAGUCAGCACGGCUUUGGUGCACCGUGACGAUGUCGGCACAGCCACGUGGGUCCCCAGGAAGGGGAUGUGCUUCCGGGACACUAAACCCGCGCCAGGAAAGAAGGAAGACGGGAACUCUGGGUCCGAGGCUCUCCUGCUGGCUUGCCUAGGACAAAAUCACAGCAUUUCCAUUGGACAUGUGCUCGCCAUUGUACAAUCUCACGAUGCUCCGUUCCACCACAUGGAAUGAAGGCUCCAAUGGGCUGAGCGGAAGAGCUGGUUCUCCAGGCAGAGAGAGGCGGGAGAAGCGGAAAGAAAGGGCAGAAAGCAGGCUGGUCCUUCCGGCUGCUUCCCUCAUACGGUGGGCACAGGGCCACAGAACAACAGGAAAACAUCGCAGUGUUAACCGAUCGGCUAUCCAGUUAUUCCAAGUUCCUUCGCCCGUAAGGGUCAGCGAGAGGGAGCUUCAUUAGCAUGCUGGCUGAAACUGGCCUGUUCAGGAAGACCUGGCUGCUGGCUCUGACCUGGGCUUCUCGGAGGCAGCUUUGUUUCACCGGUGAUGGGAAACUAGUGGGAGCGGCUUCACUUUGGCUUUCAGCCUCGUCCAUUGAUCUCCUGUAAUAUUUAUCCAACACAACACUCACUCGUUUCCUCCGAGGCUGCUGCCCUUUACUCUGUCUGGUACAUAUUUGGGCAAUGACUUUCCAGUGUUUUCUCCUUCCUAGCUUCCCCCUCUUCUGCCUUUUCUCUCAUUUGAAGAAGAACCACACUCUCCUCCAUAUCUUUAAAAUACUGAAUCUUGCCAGGCAUGGUGGUGCACGCCUGUAAUCCCAGCACUC